rnacentral:rRNA from 1 species
AACGAACGCUGGCGGCAUGCCUAACACAUGCAAGUCGAACGAGACCUUCGGGUCUAGUGGCGCACGGGUGCGUAACGCGUGGGAACCUGCCCUUAGGUUCGGAAUAACUCCCCGAAAGGGGUGCUAAUACCGGAUAAUGUCUUCGGACCAAGGAUUUAUCGCCUUUGGAUGGGCCCGCGUUGGAUUAGCUAGUUGGUAGGGUAAAAGCCUACCAAGGCGACGAUCCAUAGCUGGUCUGAGAGGAUGAUCAGCCACACUGGGACUGAGACACGGCCCAGACGGCGCGGGGAUGAAGGGUGGGGGAAUACGGGAUAGGGGCCGAGAGCCUGAACUAGCAGUGGUGAUUGAGUGGGGAGGGCCGUUGGGUUGGAAUUCUUCUUGACGGGGAACGAUAAGGACAGUACGGGGAGAAGAACCCCCGGCUAGCCCCGGGGCAGCAGCCGCGGAUAUGAUGGAAGAGAACCCGUCUACC